GGCCGCCUGGCGAAAUGGCAUCGCGUCUGACUACGAUGUGUAAUCAGGAGAUUGCAGGUUCGACCCCUGCGGUGGUCA
rfam:Fomitopsis pinicola FP-58527 SS1 unplaced genomic scaffold FOMPIscaffold_8, whole genome shotgun sequence.